rnacentral:lncRNA from 1 species
UAGGGUUAAGGUUUGGAUAAGAUUUGGUUAGGAUUUGGUUUAGGACUUAGAGUUUGGUUUAGGAUUUAAGAUUUGAUUAGGAUUUGAUUAAGGUUUGUUUUAGGGUUGGUUAGGAUUUGAUUUAGGAUUUAGGAUUUUAUUAGGAUUUGUUUAAGAUUUAAGAUUUAAUUAAUUUUUGGCCUAAAGUUUGAAUGAAGUCGAAUAGGAUUUUAACUAGGAUUAAAUUAAGAUUGAAUUGAGAUGUAUUUGAGAUAUAUUUGUGAUCAUUCUAAUAUUUCUUUAAUAUUUUUUAUUAUUUCUUUGUAAUUCCUUUGAGGUUUCUUAGAAUUUGAUUAAAGCUUGCUUAAUAUUAUUAUGGCCUAAUUAGAUUUUAGUUAGUAUUCUAUUAGAAUUAGGAUUUUAUUCUUGCAAUUUCCAUUCUACCUUCUACAACCAAAUGCAUGGAGCAUUCUCAAGCAAGAAUUCAUAUAUUAUGACAACGUGAAAUAUAGAAUAGAUCUUCAUAGACUCAGAUAUUGUAU